rnacentral:rRNA from 1 species
UACAGAGGGUGCAAGCGUUAAUCGGAAUUACUGGGCGUAAAGCGUGCGUAGACGGUUACAUAAGUCGGGUGUGAAAGCCCCGGGCUCAACCUGGGAAUUGCAUUCGAGACUGCGUAGCUAGGGUGCGGAAGAGGGAAGCGGAAUUCCGGUGUAGCGGUGAAAUGCGUAGAUAUCGGAAGGAACACCAGUGGCGAAAGCGGCUCCUGGUCCAGCACCGACGUUCAGGCACGAAAGCGUGGGGAGCAAACAGG